GUGAGGAAUAUUGGUCAAUGGGCGGGAGCCUGAACCAGCCAAGUCGCGUGAAGGAAGAAGGAUCUAUGGUUCGUAAACUUCUUUUGCAGGGGAAUAAAGUGCAGGACGUGUCCUGUUUUGUAUGUACCCUGAGAAUAAGGAUCGGCUAACUCCGUGCCAGCAGCCGCGGUAAUACGGAGGAUCAGCGCGUUAUCCGGAUUUAUCGGGUUUAAAGGGUGCGUAGGAGGUUUGAUAAGUCAGCGGUGAAAGUUUGCAGCUUAACUGUGAAAAUGGCGUUGAAAAUGUCGGACUUGAGGUGAAAUGAGGUAGGCGGAAUGCGUUGUGUAGCGGUGAAAUGCAUAGAUAUCACGCAGAACUCCGAUUGCGAAGGCAGCUUACUAAGCUACAACUGGCACUGAAGCACGAAAGCGUGGGGAUCAAACAGGAUUAGAUACCCUGGUAGGCC
rnacentral:rRNA from 1 species